CUAGGUGAUGUGGGACUAAAGUUUACACACCUUCACCGAUCUCCCAAACUCCUUGAUACUUGUUAUAUUCUUCGUAAAGAUACCUCAGCAAUCUCCUAGACGAGUCUAGUACUUACCGUAUUCUUGGAUAUUACAAAUUUCCCUCUUUUUACACAACGUCCUCUGAUGCAGCCUCACACACUGUUAGGGUCUGCUUUGAUAUCAUUUGUAAUGCCUCGGCCCCAUUAACCUUGCACAAUAUUGUCAUCUUUGACUUAUGGGCCUUAAGGCUAUAAAAUGCGUUGUGCCAUGUUAAGGAGGUUAGAGGUUAGAGGUUAUUAACUAGCCCAGUAAUUUCUCCCUAGGCGUUGUGGGACUAAAGUUUGUACAUCUUCACCAUUAUCCGAAACCCCCUGGUACUUGUCGUAUUUUUGGUGGGGACACCUCACCGAUCUCCCAGGCAGGUCUAGUACUUGCCGUAUUCUUGGGUGUCACACAUGAUCUUCUAUAUGGGACAAUUUUCUAAAGAUCUUAUUCUAUCUUCUAUUUUGGGAUUAAGGCAAAUAUUGUAAAUGGACGAAUUAUCAAUAUUUGGGUUGUUUCUAUUAUAGGUUUUGACUUUUAUUUGCUUUCUAUUUUUUUUUCUUCUCGUUCUUUAGGUAGUUGAACUCUAUAAAUAGAGAAGCUCUUUUCUCUCUGAAAACACCAUGCUCCCUCUCCCCUCUCUUUCUUCUUUCACUUCAUUAGUUUAUCUUUGUAUAAUUAAUGUUUACAAGUUUUAAUUUUUUUUUUAAGUUGUAAUUUAACUUUAAGUUAAUAGGAAGAUUUAACAACUUUCGUUUUAUUCAAAUUGUAAUCUCCAUACAAGUUAUAGGAAGCAAGGAAGAUUUGAAAUCUUUUACAAGCUGGAUUUUUUUUCUCAAGCCUAUGUAUUUCUCCAUUCAAUGAAGUUCUUGCCUUAUUUAUUUUUAUUUUUAUUUAGUUUAAUGUCUUCUUCACCAAUCAAUCCUCCUUUUAAUUUUUCCAUAGCAACUAAACCCUUUAAUUCAGGGUAUGAUGAAGCUAUGAGAGAAUGAAGGAUUAUAUCUACAUUAGAUGCCUCCGAAUUGUGCAUGUCAUGUUCAAGAGACUAUAUGCAUAUUUUUCGAUGUAUCUCUUGUGUCUCCUAUCUAUAGUCAUGAAUUUUAUUUUUUGUGUUUCGUGUCUUGUUGAUUGAAUUACUCAUGGAAAUUAUCUACUUUGAUUGGCCAUAUCUCCUAUUGACCUAAUCAUGAUACAUGCAUCUUAAGGUGGAUUUCUAUCCCCUGAGAGCUCUUUGUCAAUAAUUUUCAGUUAUCAUUCUUGAAGCUUUGAAUUUCAAUUAAGGUUAAUUUUUAAUUUCUGAAAAAUUUCUUGUGAGUUUGAUUGUCAUUGUCAUCUUUAUUUUGCAAAUUUUGUAAUUUCUUAGGUUCCUAGUUCAGGUGAUUUUCCAUAUUGUUAGUUUAAUUUCAUUACAUGUGAGUUACCCUAGUGAUAAUUUUUGCAACCUUGAGUACACUUUGCUGGUAUUAAGAUUGAAUUUUAAUCAAGGUUAACCUCCUCGUGUUCGACCUGCAUCUACACGUGACUCGUGCGCUUGUGGUUAUAUUUAUUAUUUGUUUUUCUUUUUAAGAAAAAAAAUAUCCAUCCUCUUUUUUUUGGAUGUCUACAAUCUCUUAGCACUAACAUUAUUUUGGCUCCGAGUGAUACCGUAGUCUAAAGCAGUUUUGGUUUCUACUAUUUAGAGAAGGAGCUGGAAGUGAGAAGCACUUCUAAAGGUUGGUUGGCAGUGGUGGAGUGCUUGGAAGCCAAAGAUGACCCCACUUGCCAGUGCACCUCCUACCAAAUUUAUUGGAAAGCUUUCCAUGAGCAAUGGAGUCAUAAGUGAGAAGUCAAUGAAUACUACCUCCGGGAGUUUGACACAGAGGGUGGACAAAUGAGAUAGUUCAGCAAGCCCCCUCUGCCCCAUAGCAGAGAGCCCCACACUUACCCAAUGGAUACGUUUUUCCAUGCUAUCCAUAUUGUACCUACUAUGUCUGGGUGCAGUGAGGCAAAGGGCUGAAAAUCACCAAUUAAUGUGAUUUUUCAGAUUUUACUAAGUCUAGCCAAACAAGCCUUGAGGGUUGUUUUAAGUUGAGGCAUAUAAAGCUCAUUUCAGUUACUGCACAUCAUUUGUUACUGAAAUUUUUUUUCUAGAGAAGCGAUGAGAGGAGGAGAAGAAGAAGAAGAAGAGAAGAAGAAGGAGAAAGCAAUAGAAAGGAAGGUCUCCAAAGCUUUUUGGGACUCCUUGAGGCAAGCUACUGCAUAGGAGCUGGAUCAUGGUUAAUCCAUGUUUCCCACAUUUUUCAGCUCAAGAUAAGUGGGCAUAUUAGGGGGAAAGCUCAGGUUUGCAGCCCAUCAACUCCAAGUUGCUGAAUUUUAGUUCAGAAUUGGACAUUAUUGCAAACAGUAAAAAGGGUGAUGAACUCUAUAGAGAGGUAUCUGCCUAAACAAACUCCAAACCAGAAUGGAAAAUAUGGGGAAGAUUGUUAGAGAUAGAGAGGGUAAGGCAGCGUAAUUCUCGCCCCCUGGACCUCGCACAUGUGAGAGCCUCGUGCACCAGGUAUGCCCUUAUUGUUAGAGAUAGAGAGGGUGAGGAAGGUGAUGGUGAAGAAGGAAAUGAAGGUAUGUGACAGUAACGAUUUUUUUUUUUUCUUUUUGGUACAAGACGGUUGCAAUGUUAAUGACUAAGGGAAUGUAAUUGUAUUAUGUCAGCAUAAUAUCUGGCUAUCAUUUCUGUACAGCGUGGUGUUGCUGUAAAAUGUCAACUGCAUCAUUUGCAAGCUCUUGCAAGUUAAAAGUUAUCAUAGCAGUAAUCAGCUUGCCAGUUCUCAAAACUGGUGGCUUGCAUUGUUA